GGCCAAUGUGGUAAAGUGGUUUGAGUGUUCGACUAGGACUCUGGAGACCAGGGUUCAAAUUCCAGCUUGGCCA
rnacentral:tRNA from 1 species